rnacentral:tRNA from 1 species
GCGGGCGUAGCUCAAUGGUAGAGCCUCAGUCUUCCAAACUGAUCACGCAGGUUCGAUUCCUGUCGCCCGCU